rnacentral:rRNA from 2 species
AGGGCGCACGGUGGAUGCCUUGACACUAGGAGUCGAUGAAGGACGGGACUAACGCCGAUAUGCUUCGGGGAGCUGUAAGUAAGCUUUGAUCCGAAGAUUUCCGAAUGGGGAAACCCACCAUACGUAAUGGUAUGGUAUCCUUAUCUGAAUACAUAGGGUAAGGAAGACAGACCCAGGGAACUGAAACAUCUAAGUACCUGGAGGAAGAGAAAGCAAAUGCGAUUUCCUGAGUAGCGGCGAGCGAAACGGAACAUAGCCCAAACCAAGAGGCUUGCCUCUUGGGGUUGUAGGACAUUCUAUACGGAGUUACAAAGGAACGAGGUAGACGAAGCGACCUGGAAAGGUCCGUCGUAGAGGGUAACAACCCCGUAGUCGAAACUUCGUUCUCUCUUGAAUGUAUCCUGAGUACGGCGGAACACGUGAAAUUCCGUCGGAAUCUGGGAGGACCAUCUCCCAAGGCUAAAUACUCCCUAGUGAUCGAUAGUGAACCAGUACCGUGAGGGAAAGGUGAAAAGCACCCCGGAAGGGGAGUGAAAGAGAUCCUGAAACCGUGUGCCUACAAAUAGUCAGAGCCCGUUAAUGGGUGAUGGCGUGCCUUUUGUAGAAUGAACCGGCGAGUUACGAUCCCGUGCGAGGUUAAGCUGAAGAGGCGGAGCCGCAGCGAAAGCGAGUCUGAAUAGGGCGUUUAGUACGUGGUCGUAGACCCGAAACCAGGUGAUCUACCCAUGUCCAGGGUGAAGUUCAGGUAACACUGAAUGGAGGCCCGAACCCACGCACGUUGAAAAGUGCGGGGAUGAGGUGUGGGUAGCGGAGAAAUUCCAAUCGAACCUGGAGAUAGCUGGUUCUCCCCGAAAUAGCUUUAGGGCUAGCCUUAAGUGUAAGAGUCUUGGAGGUAGAGCACUGAUUGGACUAGGGGUCCUCAUCGGAUUACCGAAUUCAGUCAAACUCCGAAUGCCAAUGACUUAUCCUUAGGAGUCAGACUGCGAGUGAUAAGAUCCGUAGUCAAAAGGGAAACAGCCCAGACCGCCAGCUAAGGUCCCAAAGUGUGUAUUAAGUGGAAAAGGAUGUGGAGUUGCUUAGACAACUAGGAUGUUGGCUUAGAAGCAGCCACCAUUUAAAGAGUGCGUAAUAGCUCACUAGUCGAGUGACUCUGCGCCGAAAAUGUACCGGGGCUAAAUACACCACCGAAGCUGCGGAUUGAUACCAAUGGUAUCAGUGGUAGGGGAGCGUUCUAAGGACAGUGAAGUCAGACCGGAAGGACUGGUGGAGUGCUUAGAAGUGAGAAUGCCGGUAUGAGUAGCGAAAGACGGGUGAGAAUCCCGUCCACCGAAUGCCUAAGGUUUCCUGAGGAAGGCUCGUCCGCUCAGGGUUAGUCAGGACCUAAGCCGAGGCCGACAGGCGUAGGCGAUGGACAACAGGUUGAUAUUCCUGUACCACCUCUUUAUCGUUUGAGCAAUGGAGGGACGCAGAAGGAUAGAAGAAGCGUGCGAUUGGUUGUGCACGUCCAAGCAGUUAGGCUGAUAAGUAGGCAAAUCCGCUUAUCGUGAAGGCUGAGCUGUGAUGGGGAAGCUCCUUAUGGAGCGAAGUCUUUGAUUCCCCGCUGCCAAGAAAAGCUUCUAGCGAGAUAAAAGGUGCCUGUACCGCAAACCGACACAGGUAGGCGAGGAGAGAAUCCUAAGGUGUGCGAGAGAACUCUGGUUAAGGAACUCGGCAAAAUGACCCCGUAACUUCGGGAGAAGGGGUGCUUUCUUAACGGAAAGCCGCAGUGAAUAGGCCCAAGCGACUGUUUAGCAAAAACACAGCUCUCUGCGAAGCCGUAAGGCGAAGUAUAGGGGGUGACACCUGCCCGGUGCUGGAAGGUUAAGGAGAGGGGUUAGCGUAAGCGAAGCUCUGAACUGAAGCCCCAGUAAACGGCGGCCGUAACUAUAACGGUCCUAAGGUAGCGAAAUUCCUUGUCGGGUAAGUUCCGACCCGCACGAAAGGUGUAACGAUUUGGGCACUGUCUCAACCAGAGACUCGGUGAAAUUAUAGUACCUGUGAAGAUGCAGGUUACCCGCGACAGGACGGAAAGACCCCGUGGAGCUUUACUGUAGCCUGAUAUUGAAUUUUGGUACAGUUUGUACAGGAUAGGCGGGAGCCUUUGAAACCGGAGCGCUAGCUUCGGUGGAGGCGCUGGUGGGAUACCGCCCUGACUGUAUUGAAAUUCUAACCUACGGGUCUUAUCGACCCGGGAGACAGUGUCAGGUGGGCAGUUUGACUGGGGCGGUCGCCUCCUAAAGUGUAACGGAGGCGCCCAAAGGUUCCCUCAGAAUGGUUGGAAAUCAUUCGUAGAGUGCAAAGGCAUAAGGGAGCUUGACUGCGAGACCUACAAGUCGAGCAGGGACGAAAGUCGGGCUUAGUGAUCCGGUGGUUCCGCAUGGAAGGGCCAUCGCUCAACGGAUAAAAGCUACCCCGGGGAUAACAGGCUUAUCUCCCCCAAGAGUCCACAUCGACGGGGAGGUUUGGCACCUCGAUGUCGGCUCAUCGCAUCCUGGGGCUGUAGUCGGUCCCAAGGGUUGGGCUGUUCGCCCAUUAAAGCGGUACGCGAGCUGGGUUCAGAACGUCGUGAGACAGUUCGGUCCCUAUCCGUCGUGGGCGUAGGAAAUUUGAGAGGAGCUGUCCUUAGUACGAGAGGACCGGGAUGGACGCACCGCUGGUGUACCAGUUGUUCUGCCAAGGGCAUAGCUGGGUAGCUAUGUGCGGAAGGGAUAAGUGCUGAAAGCAUCUAAGCAUGAAGCCCCCCUCAAGAUGAGAUUUCCCAUAGCGUAAGCUAGU